UACGAAGGGGGCUAGCGUUGCUCGGAAUUACUGGGCGUAAAGCGCACGUAGGCGGAUCAUUAAGUCGGGUGUGAAAUCUUGGAGCUUAACUCCGAAACUGCAUUCGAUACUGCCGUGCUUGAGGACUGGAGAGGAGACUGGAAUUUACGGUGUAGCGGUGAAAUGCGUAGAGAUCCGGAGGAACACCGAAGGCGAAGGCAGUGUCCUGGUGAGUGACUGACGCUGAGGUGCGAAAGCCAGGGGAGCGAACGGG
rnacentral:rRNA from 1 species